rnacentral:misc_RNA from 1 species
UCUCCGUAGGUGAACCUGCGGAGGGAUCACUACAGGCUUGCAAAGGCUCUGAAACCACUGUUUAUCUACCUGAAUCUGCUUCGGCGGGCGGCCCCAGGGCGGGGCCGUAGCCGCAAGGCGCCCGCCGAAGACCCCUAAACUCUGUCGUCUUGAGAAUCUCUGAGUAUCAUAUUAAACAGAAAACAACUUUCAACAACGGAUCUCUUGGCUCUG